AGCGAACGCUGGCGGCAGGCCUAACACAUGCAAGUCGAACGAAGUCUUCGGACUUAGUGGCGGACGGGUGAGUAACACGUGGGAACGUGCCUUUAGGUUCGGAAUAACUCAGGGAAACUUGUGCUAAUACCGAAUGUGCCCUUCGGGGGAAAGAUUUAUCGCCUUUAGAGCGGCCCGCGUCUGAUUAGCUAGUUGGUGGGGUAAAGGCCUACCAAGGCGACGAGCUGUAGCGGGUCUGAGAGGAUGAUCCGCCACACUGGGACUGAGACACGGCCCAGACUCCUACGGGAGGCGGCAGUGGGGAAUCUUGCGCAAUGGGCGAAAGCCUGACGCAGCCAUGCCGCGUGGAUGAUGAAGGUCUUAGGAUUGUAAAAUCCUUUCACCGGUGAAGAUAAUGACUGUAGCCGGAGAAGAAGCCCCGGCUAACUUCGUGCCAGCCGCCGCAGUAACAC
rnacentral:rRNA from 1 species